UGUAGUUCUUAAAAAAAAUAUAUAACUUUUAUUUAAAAUGGUGUAGUUUUAUUAUUACACAAGUUCUGUAACUGAAUGUAGAUUUAUUUGAAAGGAUAGGCUUUCUAGCUUGAAUUUCUGUAAAAAUUUUGAUUGAUUUAAAUGUAAUAAGGCGUCGGUACAUAGAGUAAAUUGCCUAAAUUCUAGCCUUUAUUCUUCCCCGGAAGUAGAUGGACCUACCCUGUUGUCAAUCGAAACAAAAUUUUGCAACGGAAUGCCGGUCAUGAGGCACUGAGAUUGAACUUAGAAACUUCGAAACAAAUGCCUAACAUGAAACAGAAGUCCCAAGCAGUAGAUGAAUGCAGCUAUAUCUUCCUUUGAUUUUGGAAGUUUUGAAGAACAGCUUCUGGUUAGUUAACUUGUUUGAACCCAAGUACAUAGAUCUCAGCCACCAACAGUUUGAGUGUCCACCACCACCACACACGUAUGAACUAGUGGGACAUUUAGAGCAGUCACAAGUAUAACAACGCACAGUAGCAUUAAGCAUUCAGGCAGAUCCAGGAUUUCCCUCGACAUUUUUAAAACUGUAGGAGGUGCCGUCUUGACUGGUUUUAGCUACAAGUGAGAACUUCUCUGCAUCUAGCCUCUUCCAUUGUAUAUUGAAUGAACUUAGCUGACUGUUUGAAGACUAAGUCUCAUGAUUUAUACUCUUGUUAUGGGCAGUAGAUGAAUGCAGCUAUAUCUUCCUUUGAUUUUGGAAGUUUUGAAGAACAGCUUCUGGUUAGUUAACUUGUUUGAACCCAAGUACAUAGAUCUCAGCCACCAACAGUUUGAGUGUCCACCACCACCACACACGUAUGAACUAGUGGGACAUUUAGAGCAGUCACAAGUAUAACAACGCACAGUAGCAUUAAGCAUUCAGGCAGAUCCAGGAUUUCCCUCGACAUUUUUAAAACUGUAGGAGGUGCCGUCUUGACUGGUUUUAGCUACAAGUGAGAACUUCUCUGCAUCUAGCCUCUUCCAUUGUAUAUUGAAUGAACUUAGCUGACUGUUUGAAGACUAAGUCUCAUGAUUUAUACUCUUGUUAUGGGCAGUAGAUGAAUGCAGCUAUAUCUUCCUUUGAUUUUGGAAGUUUUGAAGAACAGCUUCUGGUUAGUUAACUUGUUUGAACCCAAGUACAUAGAUCUCAGCCACCAACAGUUUGAGUGUCCACCACCACCACACACGUAUGAACUAGUGGGACAUUUAGAGCAGUCACAAGUAUAACAACGCACAGUAGCAUUAAGCAUUCAGGCAGAUCCAGGAUUUCCCUCGACAUUUUUAAAACUGUAGGAGGUGCCGUCUUGACUGGUUUUAGCUACAAGUGAGAACUUCUCUGCAUCUAGCCUCUUCCAUUGUAUAUUGAAUGAACUUAGCUGACUGUUUGAAGACUAAGUCUCAUGAUUUAUACUCUUGUUAUGGGCAGUAGAUGAAUGCAGCUAUAUCUUCCUUUGAUUUUGGAAGUUUUGAAGAACAGCUUCUGGUUAGUUAACUUGUUUGAACCCAAGUACAUAGAUCUCAGCCACCAACAGUUUGAGUGUCCACCACCACCACACACGUAUGAACUAGUGGGACAUUUAGAGCAGUCACAAGUAUAACAACGCACAGUAGCAUUAAGCAUUCAGGCAGAUCCAGGAUUUCCCUCGACAUUUUUAAAACUGUAGGAGGUGCCGUCUUGACUGGUUUUAGCUACAAGUGAGAACUUCUCUGCAUCUAGCCUCUUCCAUUGUAUAUUGAAUGAACUUAGCUGACUGUUUGAAGACUAAGUCUCAUGAUUUAUACUCUUGUUAUGGGGUAUGCUUCUUUGCAUAUGUAAUUCUUAUAAGAUUUUUUUUUUAAUUAAAAAAUUAAUUAUAAUUAACUUUUUUUCAGCAAAAAAUUUUUUUUAACUAGAUUUCUAUACAAAUAAUGAAUUUAUCUAUCAUGUGCAAUUUACAGAAUGUAAAUAUCUUUUAAAAUAAAAAAGUUUUGCUGAU